AACUAACGCUGGCGGCGCGUCUUAAACAUGCAAGUCGAACGGUAGUCCUUGAGCUUGCUUAGGGAUGAGAGUGGCGAACGGUGAGUAACACGUGGAUAAUCUGCCUCCGGGUUGGGAUAACUGUCCGAAAGGAUAGCUAAUACCGAAUGAGAUGGCGGUUACAUAAGUAGCAGCCAUUAAAGGUGGGGACCGCAAGGCCUACUGCCUGGAGAUGAGUCCGCGGCUGAUUAGCUAGUUGGUGGGGUAACGGCCUACCAAGGCGACGAUCAGUAGCCGGCCUGAGAGGGUGAACGGCCACAUUGGGACUGAGAUACGGCCCAGACUCCUACGGGAGGCAGCAGUUAAGAAUCUUGCACAAUGGGCGCAAGCCUGAUGCAGCGACGCCGCGUGAAUGAUGAAGGCCUGGUUGUAAGUUACAGUAAGACAGGAAGAAUAAGACAAGGGGUAAAGUAAUUUACUUGUUGAGUGACGGUACCUGCCUAAG
rnacentral:rRNA from 1 species